rnacentral:rRNA from 1 species
CCCUUAGAUGUUCUGGGCCGCACGAGCGCUACACUGACGAAUGCAACGAGCUUAUAACCUUGGCCGAAAGGUCUGGGUAAUCUCCAAAUUUCGUCGUGAUGGGGAUAGAUUAUUGCAAUUAUUAAUCUUCAACGAGGAAUGCCUAGUAAGCGCAAGUCAUCAGCUUGCGUUGAUUACGUCCCUGCCCUUUGUACACACCGCCCGUCGCUCCUACCGAUUGAAUGGUCCGGUGAAGCGUUCGGACCGUGGCCUUUGGACGGUUCGCCGUCUGUUGGCUGCGGGAAGUUCGUUAAACCUUAUCAUUUAGAGGAAGGAGAAGUCGUAACA